UAAAGCAGUGGCUUAUCUUGUAUGUUCUGUAACUGUGUUUGAAUUUUGGAAGCCUGUAGAACUUUCAAACUUUUAUUUUUUUUUAGCUUCCUUUUCUGUUAUUUCAUUUUCACCAUGAUAAAUUUUAACAUUGAAAUCAGAGUGCGGCUUUGAACAUCAGACUUUGUGUGGAGAAACUAUCCUUUGUAUGGAAAACAGCAAUAAGAUGAGAGUGACUAGGGCAAAGGAUUCCAGUGUCUGGAGUACGUGCAGGAAAGACAGCUCUGUCCACGUGACUGGGACACUUGAACUACAUAUAAUAGGAGGAUUCUUUCCAGCCCGAAGCUGCGGUGUCUCAGAGAGGCCCUCAUUCAAUAUAUCUCUUUGGCUGCCACCUGAGAGAGUGUUUUUACCAAACGCUCAGCUUCUUCAGAAAGCUUCCACCAAUGAUCAUGUAAAAGGGGAAGAGGGGAGACUGCAGAGAAAAACAAGGCUUCGCAAAUGGCAAAGCUUAAGAUCUCCUCUUAAACCUGAGUCGUGGUUGACAUUAUUUAAUAGAGCAUCUUUUAGCAUUAGUAAAAGGCUGCAACAUUUGCUUUGAAUGGGAGACAGUUCUCUUCCUUUAAGUUAGUACUGAGAAAUAAAUCCUGAAAACCGGUUAAAAUUGUAGUUGGC
rnacentral:lncRNA from 1 species